UGCAGGCUGCACAAUCAAUAGGCAGAGAGCCGGAUAGAGGCUCCCUUCGCUGCCGGAUCGACAAUCGACAGCUGAGAGACUAUUUUUUGCAAUGGUUGACUAAAUAUGGUCAGGGAAGAGAGAGGCACAAGAGAGCCUGUUUGCCUGGGAGUGCAUGUUUCAAAUGCUUAGCUGCCUAUAAAGCCGUAACAGUUUUGCUCGUGCCCUCUAAGUGGGAAAUACGGUUGGUGACUUCUGUAGUGUGUGUGCGGGAGCCCUGACCUCGCGAGCAGACUUGACCUCUGAAGAUGGAAAGUAGCUUCAACACAGACCUGCCUACAGUUAAGCCUGGAAACAUAACCUCAAGCAAGAAAAGAUGCAGUGCAAUAUCUAAGGAACUAGAAGAAACCAAUAUUUGCCGGGGGAGGGGGGAGACGAUCGCUAUUUUUUUGGUGCCUUUUUCCAAUUUUUUUUUUUUGGAAGCAACUCCAACUUUUGGGGGCUUGGUUUUGGUCUUUUGUUGGGUUUUUAUUUUUCUUUUUGCCUGUGAUUAUCUUCAUCUGACAGUGGGCUAAGUUCACCUUCCCUUGGCUUCCUAGCAUCUAUCCUUGGAGUCUUAACUCUCAGUCCAGCAGACAUAAGUUUUAUCUAUUUAAGGUGGUGAGGUACUGUAUGCACCGACAUUCGCCCCCCCUUGCCUCCCCCUCCCAUGUAACGAAGAGCUGAUUCAGCGAAUAGAGUGAGAGCACUCAGGAUGAGAUGGCUGCUGCUGAUGUGUCUCUAGGUCAUUACCUCUCUUCCAACUGCAAAUGCUGCAUGAUACUAAGCUUACAGGACACUAGAUGCAAACUGUACCCCAGCAUGAAAAUCUGCUAGAAGACCUGUGAGGAAGCUGAAGUUUUUACAGUGGACUACAACUAUGAAUUCUAAGAAAAGACAUUGCAAACCUACCAGUGAUUCAACUCGCUACUUAAACACGGUCACUUAGAAGAGCAAGAGGCUGCAAAAAUAUGGAAAAGCACUUCUAACAUCAGUGCCAUCCCAAAACAAUGAACUAUGCCCAGCUUUAAGACACUGUGCAGAAUUUGUCUCUCUGAGACCUCCAUGACAACACAGCCCAUGAGUCCUGCAGACACUUCCUGAAGACACUCAUUAACACUACGUAGAAGUGAGAAACCCCAGUUCUCAAUUAUGCUACAGUUAUAAAUUUCACUGUCAACCCGUUCAAACCAUCUGCAAAUUAAAAAAAGUUGAGAUCUCCUAAAUAAUAAGAAAACCAUGGGGGAAAAUUACAAUUCUAUUUUAAACCACAAUCUCCUGCUUGCCAGUUUAUGAACAUAAAGAUGACAUACUUCUUGCUAUUGGAGAGCAGCAAUACCUAAAAUCUGUACCUUGCUCCAGGACUUUAAUUUUUUGAUUUAAAGUCCAGCAGAAUUUAUUACUCUGAAGAACUAACCAUCCACGUGUGUGAAGUCAGGUCAGCUCCAAGACCAGCCUCUAUUUAAGAUGCUAGCUGCAGAGUGAAUAAAGCUCUCUUCACAAGAUACAAUGCAAAUCUAAAACUAACUGGGGCAACGGAUAUAAAAUACGCCUACACUUCACAGUCAUGUCUUCAGCUCAAAAUCUGAAGUCACAGGUAUGCGAAUAGAUCAAACAUAAGCAAGAGAUGAUAACAUGGCAAAAAUAACCAAUCUGUACAGUAUUUUCAAAUUUUACUCUCCUUUUUUCUGUCUGAAAAAAAAUCUUAUUAACAGUGAAGAGGCAAAGUCUGCCAAGCUUUGAGGCUCACAGUACUUUGAAAAAAGUCCAAAAUAAAUGCACUUUUAAUAUGACUGACUCAGUUAAAAAUCACAAACAAGAAACCAAGUAUUAAAUAAAAGUUUAACUUCCCCAUACUUAAUUUAAAAUUUCUUUUUAGCUCUAUCUCCCAUGCACAAGUUUAAAGAUACCUACAGCAUAAACUAACAUUCCUUCUACAUUUCAACAUUAUACAUCAGCACAAAAACCAAAAGCUCUUUCUGUACCAAUUCACAAGGUACAAAGAGAAGCAAAACAUGAAAAGGAGAAAUAUUCUACUAAGAAUAGGAUGCUCUCUGAAACACACUGUACCUUGACUUGUGGAAAACACAGCCAAACUGCCAUGGAAGACUCCCAGGCAGUGGAGUCAGAUACUUUCUCAGCAGAUAAAGUGCUGAGAAAAUCUAAGCUAUUUGACAUAAAUCACCAUCUUUCUUAUCAUAUUUAUCCAAUAUUCAAACAUUCAAAAUGGAAUGUAUUUGUUUUCAUAUGAAAAAUUAAAAACGUUGGAAUGUUCUUCUCAGUAUAAGUUGUAGGUUUUUUUUCUUGGGACAUUUAUCUCCCUAUUAUUUAUAAAGGUCAGAACUCAAGAAACAAGAGGUUUUGCUCUGAAAAUGAAAUUGGUUCCAAAUACCUAUUUAACAUAAUUAGAAAAAUUACUAAAGAAAUCCACCUCCAUUUAUUGUGGUACUCAUGGACUUAACACAUGCAUUUAUUUUAUUAUCCCCAACAAGGACAAUGUAUGUGAACUUCAUUAAUUCUUGCAUGCAUAGCACAUUUUUAAUUUUUAGAAUUACAGCUAUGCACACAAAUGCAUACACAUUUAUAUACACAUGUGAAUACAUGUUUAACUUUUAUGAAAUAAUAUAGAAAUUAUAUUAUGUAUCCAUAUAUUUGAAUAUAAGGAGAAUUUAAUACAUUGUAUUAACAUUAUGCACCACAUCCUGAAGUCACAAAAACUCCAGUUUAGGUGGAGCGAGGAAGCUUAGAUGAGGAAAGACAGGUCUAAAGAAAGGUUUCAAGCAGAACUUAUUACAUACUGUCUGUGACCCACAGUAAUAACAAGCUAAAGAUGAGAGGGUUAUUUUUAACAGUGUCUUAAAUAGCUUGUGCUUAGUGCAUUUAACAGAUCAGUAGUAGCCAUUGUUCUAUAUCAGAUUAGAAAAACAAAGUGGCAAACACAAAAACUUUGGUUUCAUUCAGAAACAGGCAAGUGGCAGAACUACAAAAUCAGCAAUGAAACAAAGGAGGAUCACUGAAGUCUUGAGGAAUAUAAAACUCAACUCCUAGAUGAAUGAAACUAUUAUGACAAUUUUUAGCUGGGGGGAGAAAUCAAAAUAGAUUUAUUUUGGUUUCAUUUUCAAUUAUUUCUUCCCAGGCUGAUGGGUAAAAUAUCUAAUGCUUUGAGCAUUGUAGAUAUUUUAGAUGAAACUACUAUAUGUAUCUAUAGCAUAGAUAUUUUAGAUGAAAUUGCUCCUUCUGUGAUGGGAGACAAAAUUACUUUUCUGCAUGCUUAAGCAGUGCUCAGAUGGAACUGCAACCAAAAAAGAAUAUUAAAUAUCUGUUUUAGAUACAAGUGAAACCCCAUGUACAGAGGGAACCCACACAGCAUUCAAAUCCCUAAUACCCAAAACAUUUUCCAACAUUUCUAAUAAAAACUUUUGUAAAGGAGGAAGGAUUCUGGUUAAAACUGCACUAUACUUCUCAUUCUACCAACCAUCAAACUGAUCCAGUCUGAACUACGACACAGAUCCCUCCAUCAAAUGAACGGUCUGUCACUUCUAAAAUACUUACCCACAGAAAAAUCUCCAGCACAUGCCUAUGAAAAACAUGUUCCCACCCAUACACCUUCCCUAACAUCUCGAGAUUAUGGUCACACAAACCAGCUACCACAAGAGCCGAGGAAGAGCAUUGCAAAAAAAAAAAAAAAACAAACUAAACAAAAACCAAACCAAAAAAAACCAACACCAAAAAAUACCCCACCAGAGUAAGACAGGAAACUGUGCUGCUGGCUAAUGCUGUUAUAGAAGUAGGAAGAAUUCACUUUAGAGGAAGAAGUUACCAAAUGAGACUUGAAAGAAUUGUCUUCUGAAUGCCAAAAAUAAGCUCCCUUCACUUGGUCCUUGACACGUUCUCAUAAAGACCUUUUAUGAGUACUGAAGAAAAUGGUAAACAUUUAUUUGUCUUAUCAACACUUUCAGCCACUACUUUUACCUCAUGUAAUGAUACCAUUCCACAAACGUAGAUAAUUAAUUAUGUUUACUUUUUAACCAUCAAUCUUGAUAGCUAUGUUCUAAGAGACUAACCUAGAUUUUAAUCCCAUAUAUUAAUAAUGGGCGGAAUUUAUACAAAUUUACAGCCUUAUUUCUCCAACUUCUCUCAACUGAAAAGCCAAAUUUAGUAGUAAACAAGGAAACACAGACAUUUCUUCUUAUGUGUAAGCUAUACUACAUACUUCACCUGAGGAUAAAGUAUUAUUGAAGUCUUGUUGGCAUGACAGCCUUGAAAAAUACCAUUUAUCCACAAUGUAAUAAGGAACCACCAACACAACUUUUCUUUGAAGUUCUAUCUACACAGGAGUUUUCAAAAGCCCCCUUAACUGAAAAUUGAAUGUAGAUGUAUAAAGUACAGUUAUAAAAUAAACUGCCUUAAAUUUUUUUUCAGUUGAGCUGCUAUACAAAAGCUGAAAUACAAAAUUCCUUCCAGAUAUACUUCUAUGGAAAUAUAAUUAACUGUUUCAAAUACUGACAAAUAUAAUCUAAUGCAAUAAUCCUAAGAGUGCUUUAGAACUGUAUGGUUUACUUAAUAAUUACCCACAAAUAAGUAUUUCUAAAAAUAUCAAAUUCCUUUAUCAAUUCCAAUACUCAAGAAGGGAAAUAUAGCAGUAUUUACUAUUUUUAUCCUGUGUCAAGAUUCCAUCUUCAAGAUCUUACUAACUUACUUAUCAAAACUUUUAUUGGCAAAAGUUUAUAGCCAUGACAGGAGAUUUCUCAGGAAUUUGGAGUUAUCUGGAUACAGGCAUUAAACUGAGCAGACUCCUAGCUUCAUUCUAGUAAGGGCUUCCAAACAUUAGAAAGAUGCAUAGCUAAGCAACAUGAACAUUUAAGAAAUACAACUACAUGCAGAUUUAAGGAUCUUCAGAAAGAAUACCAUAGUUCUACCCUCAUAUGUACUUGUUUUCCUUUUAAAUACAAUAAAAAAAAAAUCUUUAAAAAG